rnacentral:rRNA from 1 species
AGAGUUUGAUCAUGGCUCAGAUUGAACGCUGGCGGAAUGCCUUACACAUGCAAGUCGAACGGUAGAGGGGGCAACCCCUUGAGAGUGGCGAACGGGUGAGUAAUGUAUCGGAACGUGCCCAGUCGUGGGGGAUAACGUAGUGAAAAUUACGCUAAUACCGCAUACGAUCUAUGGAUGAAAGCGGGGGAUCGCAAGACCUCGCGCGAUUGGAGCGGCCGAUAUCAGAUUAGGUAGUUGGUGGGGUAAAGGCUCACCAAGCCAACGAUCUGUAGCUGGUCUGAGAGGACGACCAGCCACACUGGAACUGAGACACGGUCCAGACUCCUACGGGAGGCAGCAGUGGGGAAUUUUGGACAAUGGACGCAAGUCUGAUCCAGCCAUUCCGCGUGCAGGACGAAGGCCUUCGGGUUGUAAACUGCUUUUGUACGGAACGAAAAAGCUCUUAUUAAUACUAGGAGUCCAUGACGGUACCGUAAGAAUAAGCACCGGCUAACUACGUGCCAGCAGCCGCGGUAAUACGUAGGGUGCAAGCGUUAAUCGGAAUUACUGGGCGUAAAGCGUGCGCAGGCGGUUAUAUAAGACAGAUGUGAAAUCCCCGAGCUUAACUUGGGAACUGCAUUUGUGACUGUAUAGCUAGAGUACGGCAGAGGGGGAUGGAAUUCCGCGUGUAGCAGUGAAAUGCGUAGAUAUGCGGAGGAACACCGAUGGCGAAGGCAAUCCCCUGGGCCUGUACUGACGCUCAUGCACGAAAGCGUGGGGAGCAAACAGGAUUAGAUACCCUGGUAGUCCACGCCCUAAACGAUGUCAACUGGUUGUUGGGUCUUCACUGACUCAGUAACGAAGCUAA